UACGUAGGGUCCGAGCGUUGUCCGGAAUUAUUGGGCGUAAAGGGCUCGUAGGCGGUUUGUCGCGUCGGGAGUGAAAACUCAGGGCUCAACCCUGAGCGUGCUUCCGAUACGGGCAGACUAGAGGUAUGCAGGGGAGAACGGAAUUCCUGGUGUAGCGGUGGAAUGCGCAGAUAUCAGGAAGAACACCGGUGGCGAAGGCGGCUCUCUGGGCCUUACCUGACGCUGAGGAGCGAAAGCUAGGGGAGCAAACAGG
rnacentral:rRNA from 1 species